UCCAGUGUGGUGUAGUGGUCAGGGUGUCAGGCUAAGACCCUGGAGAACAGGGUUCAAAUCCCAGCUCAGGUAUGAAA